UGGAGUCACUUCAGCAUUUCCAUAGCCAGCAAAGGUGAUUGCAGCGGUGCCGUUUUCUUCAUCUAUCUCCUCAAUCUCCGCUUCAUAACACCUGUAAAGAUAUCAUGGCUGUAAGCAGAAAUCAAUGAAAAAAAAAUAACCUCAGGUGAAGAAUAAAAACAAACAAAAUAAAUACCAUAGCAACUUCAUUGGAGUUUAUCCUAAAUCUAGAAUUUAAACCUGAAAAUAUUCAAUAUCUUAAUUAUGCCCACAUAAGCGCUUUCAGAAUCCUGAAUCCGGAUUCCAUGUCAAUUUUCAUUUGUUUGCAGUUCUAAUAUUCUUAAAAUAUUAAUAACUUUAAAGGGCAAAAGAUGAUAGAGGGAAAGAAUUACUUAGAUAAGACAAAGAUGAUUCAAGUUUUGUACUGAAUCAGUCAAGAAAGAGCAUCUAAUCAAAACACCUUUUAAAACUUUCCAAAACAUCAGGUUCAAAACUUUAAGUCUCAAAUUUGUUAAGAGGAAAAAUCAUAUAUUUACAAAUCUUUUUAUAUGGAGUUUUUAUUAAUCAACUUAGUGUUCUGAGAAAUAAUAUUUACUAUUAUGACUUCAUUUGUCUUGAGACAACCCCUGCCCAGCACAGGAUUUUAACAGCAGGUGUCAUACAUACUGAACUCUCUCAUGACAAACAAAACAAGUUAGGAUCCCUUUCACAUAGAUUCAAUUUAACUUCAACAAGUGUCAACAACUACACUG